rnacentral:rRNA from 1 species
GAUGAACGCUGGCGGCGUGCCUAACACAUGCAAGUCGAGCGAUUCUCUUCGGAGAAGAGCGGCGGACGGGUGAGUAACGCGUGGGUAACCUGCCCUGUACACACGGAUAACAUACCGAAAGGUAUGCUAAUACGAGAUAAUAUGCUUUUAUCGCAUGGUAGAAGUAUCAAAGCUCCGGCGGUACAGGAUGGACCCGCGUCUGAUUAGCUAGUUGGUAAGGUAACGGCUUACCAAGGCGACGAUCAGUAGCCGACCUGAGAGGGUGAUCGGCCACAUUGAGACUGAGACACGGUCAAAACUACUACGGGAGGCAGCAGUGGGGAAUAUUGCACAAUGUGCGAAAGACUGAGGCAGCAACGCCGCGUGAGCGAUGAAGGCCUUCGGGUCGAAAAGCUCUGUCCUCAAGGAAGAUAAUGACGGUACUUGAGGAGGAAGCCCCGGCUAACUACGUGCCAGCAGCCGCCGUAA